UACGGAGGGUGCGAGCGUUAAUCGGAAUUACUGGGCGUAAAGGGUGCGUAGGUUGUUAUAUAAGCUAGCUGUGAAAUACCUGGGCUUAACCUGGGUUUGUCAGAUAGGACUGUAUGACUCGAGUAUGGGAGAGGGUAGUGGAAUUUCCGGUGUAGCGGUGAAAUGCGUAGAGAUCGGAAGGAACACCAGUGGCGAAGGCGGCUACCUGGCCUAAUACUGACACUGAGGCACGAAAGCGUGGGGAGCAAACAGG
rnacentral:rRNA from 1 species